rnacentral:rRNA from 1 species
AUGAAGAGUAAGAUCUACUGUCUUUCUCUGUUUACAAACGUAUCUGUACGGAUUCAAAGAUAUGGUUAUACAGAGAUAUUUCUAGGUGCGAAAAUAAAGUUUGCUUUGGCUUAUUGUUUUAAUUCCCAGGUUUUAGUGUUUCGUUUUUGGCAUGUUCCAGUUAUAUGUUCAAUUUUUCAUGAUUUCUAUGCACGUCUCUCUGAUAUGGCCUUGAGUAUGUAUUGCAUCAUCAUAUUAGUUAUUAGACUAGAGUUAUCUUUUUUCAAGUGGUUCUGCAAUAAUGCAGUCUUCCUAUUGUAA